rnacentral:rRNA from 1 species
GAUGAACGCUGGCGGCGUGCCUAAUACAUGCAAGUCGAGCGAACGGACGAGAAGCUUGCUUCUCUGAUGUUAGCGGCGGACGGGUGAGUAACACGUGGAUAACCUACCUAUAAGACUGGGAUAACUUCGGGAAACCGGAGCUAAUACCGGAUAAUAUUUUGAACCGCAUGGUUCAAAAGUGAAAGACGGUCUUGCUGUCACUUAUAGAUGGAUCCGCGCUGCAUUAGCUAGUUGGUAAGGUAACGGCUUACCAAGGCAACGAUGCAUAGCCGACCUGAGAGGGUGAUCGGCCACACUGGAACUGAGACACGGUCCAGACUCCUACGGGAGGCAGCAGUAGGGAAUCUUCCGCAAUGGGCGCAAGCCUGACGGAGCAACGCCGCGUGAGUGAUGAAGGUCUUCGGAUCGUAAAGCUCUGUUAUUAGGGAAGAACAUAUGUGUAAGUAACUGUGCACAUCUUGACGGUACCUAAUCAGAAAGCCACGGCUAACUACGUG